AGUCCCGUACACGAAAGCACACUUGCUGUGAACUCGAAGAGUAGGGCGGGACACGUGGUAUCCUGUCUGAAUAUGGGGGGACCAUCCUCCAAGGCUAAAUACUCCUGACUGACCGAUAGUGAACCAGUACCGUGAGGGAAAGGCGAAAAGAACCCCGGCGAGGGGAGUGAAAAAGAACCUGAAACCGUGUACGUACAAGCAGUGGGAGCCUCUUUAUGGGGUGACUGCGUACCUUUUGUAUAAUGGGUCAGCGACUUAUAUUCUGUAGCAAGGUUAACCGUAUAGGGGAGCCGAAGGGAAACCGAGUCUUAACUGGGCGUUAAGUUGCAGGGUAUAGACCCGAAACCCGGUGAUCUAGCCAUGGGCAGGUUGAAGGUUGGGUAACACUAACUGGAGGACCGAACCGACUAAUGUUGAAAAAUUAGCGGAUGACCUGUGGCUGGGGGUGAAAGGCCAAUCAAACCGGGAGAUAGCUGGUUCUCCCCGAAAGCUAUUUAGGUAGCGCCUCGUGAACUCAUCUUCGGGGGUAGAGCACUGUUUCGGCUAGGGGGCCAUCCCGGCUUACCAACCCGAUGCAAACUACGAAUACCGAAGAAUGUUAUCACGGGAGACACACGGCGGGUGCUAACGUCCGUCGUGAAGAGGGAAACAACCCAGACCGCCAGCUAAGGUCCCAAAGUCAUGGUUAAGUGGGAAACGAUGUGGGAAGGCACAGACAGCCAGGAUGUUGGCUUAGAAGCAGCCAUCAUUUAAAGAAAGCGUAAUAGCUCACUGGUCGAGUCGGCCUGCGCGGAAGAUGUAACGGGGCUAAACCAUGCACCGAAGCUGCGGCAGCGACACUUAUGUGUUGUUGGGUAGGGGAGCGUUCUGUAAGCCGUUGAAGGUGUGCUGUGAGGCAUGCUGGAGGUAUCAGAAGUGCGAAUGCUGACAUAAGUAACGAUAAAGCGGGUGAAAAGCCCGCUCGCCGGAAGACCAAGGGUUCCUGUCCAACGUUAAUCGGGGCAGGGUGAGUCGACCCCUAAGGCGAGGCCGAAAGGCGUAGUCGAUGGGAAACAGGUUAAUAUUCCUGUACUUGGUGUUACUGCGAAGGGGGGACGGAGAAGGCUAUGUCAGCCGGGCGACGGUUGUCCCGGUUUAAGCAUGUAGGCGGAGGUUCCAGGUAAAUCCGGUACCUUAUUAACGCUGAGGUGUGAUGACGAGGCACUACGGUGCUGAAGUGAUAAAUGCCCUGCUUCCAGGAAAAGCCUCUAAGCAUCAGGUAACACGAAAUCGUACCCCAAACCGACACAGGUGGUCAGGUAGAGAAUACCAAGGCGCUUGAGAGAACUCGGGUGAAGGAACUAGGCAAAAUGGUGCCGUAACUUCGGGAGAAGGCACGCUGAUGUGUAGGUGAAGCCCCUGCGGGCGGAGCUGAAAUCAGUCGAAGAUACCAGCUGGCUGCAACUGUUUAUUAAAAACACAGCACUGUGCAAACACGAAAGUGGACGUAUACGGUGUGACGCCUGCCCGGUGCCGGAAGGUUAAUUGAUGGGGUUAGCGGCAACGCGAAGCUCUUGAUCGAAGCCCCGGUAAACGGCGGCCGUAACUAUAACGGUCCUAAGGUAGCGAAAUUCCUUGUCGGGUAAGUUCCGACCUGCACGAAUGGCGUAAUGAUGGCCAGGCUGUCUCCACCCGAGACUCAGUGAAAUUGAACUCGCUGUGAAGAUGCAGUGUACCCGCGGCAAGACGGAAAGACCCCGUGAACCUUUACUAUAGCUUGACACUGAACACUGGUCCUUGAUGUGUAGGAUAGGUGGGAGGCUUUGAAGCGUGGACGCCAGUCUGCGUGGAGCCAACCUUGAAAUACCACCCUUUAAUGGCUGGUGUUCUAACGUAGACCCGUAAUCCGGGUUGCGGACAGUGUCUGGUGGGUAGUUUGACUGGGGCGGUCUCCUCCCAAAGAGUAACGGAGGAGCACGAAGGUUGGCUAAUCCUGGUCGGACAUCAGGAGGUUAGUGCAAUGGCAUAAGCCAGCUUGACUGCGAGCGUGACGGCGCGAGCAGGUGCGAAAGCAGGUCAUAGUGAUCCGGUGGUUCUGAAUGGAAGGGCCAUCGCUCAACGGAUAAAAGGUACUCCGGGGAUAACAGGCUGAUACCGCCCAAGAGUUCAUAUCGACGGCGGUGUUUGGCACCUCGAUGUCGGCUCAUCACAUCCUGGGGCUGAAGUAGGUCCCAAGGGUAUGGCUGUUCGCCAUUUAAAGUGGUACGCGAGCUGGGUUUAGAACGUCGUGAGACAGUUCGGUCCCUAUCUGCCGUGGGCGCUGGAGAAUUGAGGGGGGCUGCUCCUAGUACGAGAGGACCGGAGUGGACGCAUCACUGGUGUUCGGGUUGUCAUGCCAAUGGCACUGCCCGGUAGCUAAAUGCGGAAGAGAUAAGUGCUGAAAGCAUCUAAGCACGAAACUUGCCCCGAGAUGAGUUCUCCCUGAGACCUUGAGUCUCCUGAAGGAACGUUGAAGACGACGACGUUGAUAGGUCGGGUGUGUAAGCGCAGCGAUGCGUUGAGCUAACCGAUACUAAUGAACCGUGA
rnacentral:rRNA from 1 species